AUUGAACGCUGGCGGCAUGCCUUACACAUGCAAGUCGAACGGCAGCACGGGAGCAAUCCUGGUGGCGAGUGGCGAACGGGUGAGUAAUAUAUCGGAACGUGCCCAGUCGUGGGGGAUAACGCAGCGAAAGCUGUGCUAAUACCGCAUACGAUCUAAGGAUGAAAGCGGGGGAUCGCAAGACCUCGCGCGAUUGGCCCGGCCGAUAUCAGAGUAGCUAGUUGGUGGAGUAAAGGCCCACCAAAGCGACGAUCUGUAGCUGGUCUGAGAGGACGACCAGCCACACUGGAACUGAGACACGGUCCAGACUCCUACGGGAGGCAGCAGUGGGGAAUUUUGGACAAUGGGCGCAAGCCUGAUCCAGCAAUGCCGCGUGCAGGAUGAAGGCCUUCGGGUUGUAAACUGCUUUUGUACGGAACGAAACGGCCCUUUCUAAUACAGGGGGCUAAUGACGGUACCGUCAGAAUAAGCACCGGCUAACUACGUGCCAGCCGCCGCGGUAA
rnacentral:rRNA from 1 species